rnacentral:lncRNA from 10 species
CCCUGGCUACCUCUGCCUCUUGACCAACCUGUGCUUUCCUGUGUGGCCCUGUGCGGCAUGACAGGCCUUCUGCUCUCAGCAUCUGUGAGUAUCAAAAUUUCUUCCUUCAUUUAAGUGUCUGUGUGUAUUACCAUAGCUGAUUAAAACAAAACUGGGUACAUAUAGAUUCACUCAAGAGCAGCUGUAAUCUAAUCACUUUGAGGUGUCCUUCAUUGAUUAUAGCUGAGUCAGGGACUGGUCAAUGGUGAUUUUGACCAGGCUAAGUCAAAAGAGGAAUGGGACCCAAUACGUAUCUAAGCCUGCUGUCUGCAACAGGAAAUCACUGAGGUCACUGAGGCUUAUGGUCAGGCUAUUCUAAAGGGGGCAAUGGUGCAUGGAGAAAGGCCUUUCUGAAUUAGAUGGUCUCGGUCCAUUUCUCUGGCUGCUAUAAGCUUCUUUUCACAACAUUUUCUUCUAUUCUGGUCUCCCUUUAAACUAUUCACUCCAGAUCUGAGCCUAGGUAAGACAUACCAGGUACCUAGGACACAGAUUUUAAGGAGACACUAAUCAGGAUCAUUCCAGAAAUGCCUGGCUUUCCUCUCCCUAUUCCUCACCCUGAUUCACAUUACCAGAGGGAUC